AAUCAACGCUGGCGGCGUGCCUCAGACAUGCAAGUCGAACGAUUAAAGCUCUCUUCGGAGAGUGUAUAGAGUGGCGCACGGGUGAGUAACACGUAAGUAAUCUACCUUCGAGUGGGGAAUAACGUCCGGAAAUGGACGCUAAUACCGCAUAAUGCAGCGGCAUCGCAAGAUGACAGUUGUUAAAGAUUUAUCGCUUGAAGAGGAGCUUGCGGCAGAUUAGCUAGUUGGUAAGGUAAUGGCUCACC
rnacentral:rRNA from 1 species